AUUGAACGCUGGCGGCAUGCUUUACACAUGCAAGUCGAACGGUAACAGGCCGCAAGGUGCUGACGAGUGGCGAACGGGUGAGUAAUGCAUCGGAACGUGCCCAGUCGUGGGGGAUAACGCGGCGAAAGCUGCGCUAAUACCGCAUACGAUCUCUGGAUGAAAGCGGGGGACCGAAAGGCCUCGCGCGAUUGGAGCGGCCGAUGUCAGAUUAGGUAGUUGGUGGGGUAAAGGCUCACCAAGCCAACGAUCUGUAGCUGGUCUGAGAGGACGACCAGCCACACUGGGACUGGGAAACGGCCCAGACUCCUACGGGAGGCAGCAGUGGGGAAUUUUGGACAAUGGGCGCAAGCCUGAUCCAGCAAUGCCGCGUGCAGGAAGAAGGCCUUCGGGUUGUAAACUGCUUUUGUACGGAACGAAACGGUCCUGGUUAAUACCUGGGGCUAAUGACGGUACCGUAAGAAUAAGCACCGGCUAACUACGUGCCAGCAGCCGCCGUAAUAC
rnacentral:rRNA from 1 species